GACGAACGCUGGCGGCGUGCCUAAUACAUGCAAGUCGAACGCUGAAGCGAGGAGCUUGCUCUUCUUGCAUGAGUUGCGAACGGGUGAGUAACGCGUAGGUAACCUGCCUUGUAGCGGGGGAUAACUAUUGGAAACGAUAGCUAAUACCGCAUAACAUCGUAUGACACAUGUCAUUUUUUUGAAAGGCGCAAUUGCUCUACUACAUGAUGGACUUGCGUUGUAUUAGGUAGUAGGUGAGGUAAUGGCUCUACUAGGCGACGAUACAUAGCCGGCCUGAGAGGGUGGUCAGCCCACCUGGGAGUGGGACCCGGCCCAGGCUCCCUAGGGGAGGAGCAAUAAGGAAACUUCGGCCAUGGGGGCAAACCUUGCCGGACAACGCCGCGUGAGGGAAGAAGGUUUUCGGGUCGUAAAGCUCUGUUUUAAGGCGAGAACGGGUGUGAGAGUGGAAAGUUCACGCUGUGACGGUAGCUUACCAGAAAGCGACGGCUAACUACGUG
rnacentral:rRNA from 1 species